AACCUGGUUGAUCCUGCCAGUAGUCAUACGCUUGUCUUAAUGACUAAGCCAUGCAUGCCUCAGUGUGAAAUUUGCCAUAUUGGAACUGCGAACAGCUCAUUAGAAUGGCUUCAAUUAAAAUGACGGUCAGUCAUGAUAAGGACAUCUGCACCAAUAGUAGAGCUAAUACACGAUUUUGAACUCGAGAAUAUGGAAGGGUUGCACUUAUUAGAUAUAGAAUUAGUCUACUUCAGUUGUUUCAAGGUAAUUCAUAAUUUUCAAGCGAGUCGCUUCAAACGAUGAAGUAUAUAAGUUUCUCACCUAUCAGUUUUCGAUGGUAAGGUAGUGGCUCACCAUGACCGUAACGGGUAGCGGAGAAUUAGGGUUCGAUUCCGGAGAGGGCGCUUGAGAAAUGGCUACCACAUCUAAGGAAGGCAGCAGGCGCGCAAAUUACCCAAUCCCUAAUCAAGGAGGUAGUGAGAAGAAGUAAUGAUAUAUAACAUGUAUGUUCUGUAAUCGGAAUGUGAGGAAAUUAAACCUAUUUUCUAGUAUCGAUUGGAGGGCAAGUCUGGUGCCAGCAGCCGCGGUAAUUCCAGCUCCAACAGUGUAUAUUAAUACUGCUGCGGUUGAAACGUUCGUAGUUGGGAAUUUGUUGUCUAUUAUUGGUCUAUCCUAGUGGUCAGUACUGUAUAUGAAUGCAGCAUUGUCUUGAUUAUUUUUCUACACUUGACUGUGUAUUAUGUUGAAUCAAUCCGUAUACUUUGAAGAAAUGAGAGUGUUUCAAGCAAUUUUAUUCAGGGAUAUAUUAGCAUGGAAUAACACAUUACGACUUCAAUUUGUGUCUAUUGGUUGCCGAGAUGGGGUAAUAAAGAGGAGGAUAAUUGGUGGCAUAUAUAUUGCACAGUCAGAAGUGAAAUUCUUGGAUUUUUGCAAGAUAACCAAUUGCGAAAGCAUUUGUCAAGAGUGUUUUUAUUGAUCAAGAACGAAAGUUAAGGGAUCGAAGACGAUCAGAUACCGUUGUAGUCUUAACCGUAAACUAUGUCGCCUAGAAAUUGGCGGGUAUAUAGUAUCAUCCCGUCAGCAACUUAAGAGAAAUUACAGUUUUUGGAUUCCGGGGGGAGUAUGAUCACAAGAUUGAAACUUAAAGGAAUUGACGGAAAGGCACCACCAGGAGUGGAGCGUGCGGCUUAAUUCGACUCAACACUGGAAAAUUUAUCAGGUCCGAACAUAGAAAUGAUUGACAGAUUGGCUGGCUUUUCUUAAUUCUGUGGGUGGUGGUGCAUGGCCGUUCUUAGUUGGUGGAGUGAUUUGUCUGGUUAAUUUCGAUAACGACCGAGAUCUUGACCUACUAAAUAGAUGCAGGAUGUAUAAACAAUCGUGUGAACUUCUUAGAGGAAACAUUUGUGUAAAGUAAAAGGAAGAUUAAGGUAAUAACAGGUCUGUGAUGCCCUUAGAUGUCUUGAGCUGCACGCGCGCUACACUGAAGCACUUCACAAGGAAUUUAUCUGAUUUGAAAAAAGUGGGAAAUCUUAUCCCUGUGCAUCGUGAUGGGGCUUGUUUAUUGUAAUUAUUGAAUAUUAACGAGGAAUCCCUAGUAAGUGUAUAUCAUCAAUCUGUUCUGAUUAAGUCCCUGCCCUUUGUACACACCGCCCGUCGCUCCUACCGAUCGAGUGAUCCGGUGAACACCUAAGACAUUGAGAAGCAAUCGAAAAAUUACACUCAUAGAAAUGCGAGUGAGUCUUAUCACUUAGAGGAAGGAGAAGUCGUAACAAGGUUUCCGUAGGUGAACCUGCAGAAGGAUC
rnacentral:rRNA from 1 species